ensembl:lincRNA
CGCCCUAUUUGCAAACUAGUGAUCUGAAAACUUCAUGGAUGAUUUGAUAUACAUGUUGAGGGGAUGACGCUGUUGAAAAUUUGGGAGGAGUGAGCUGUGUGUGCCAGUCCCUGAGACAGAAAGAGAAAUUGGAAAGGUUUGUAUUCGACUUCUCCUUCCUAGGUCACAGAGACUCAGUUCUUUCUUCAGACAGAAGCCAAGGAAAAGUUUUACUCCAAAGUCUCUGUGAAACAGCAUUUCUUUCUGACUUUAAAUGUUGUAAUUAAAAAUUGAGAGGAGAAGAGAACAAAGUUAAACCAACCUGAAAACUCUGCUGCUUUGACAAAUAAAGAGAUGAUCACUACUUGUACUUAAUACUUGCUAUCUUCUACUUACAGUAAUGCUAAGAAUCACAGGAACACAAGUACUUGAAAAUGGAGGAAUUCCAAAAAUAGUUUCUAUUACUAUGGAAGUAUCAGCAAAAUCUAUCAGAAAAAAGAAGAAAAUGCCAGGGCUACAUUCAGCAAAGGAUAAUCAUCUCUUAUGCUACAACAUGUGGGAGCUGUCAUCUGGAUGGUGUUAGAAAGUCUAAUUCACCCAGUAGAUUCAGACAAGUAUGUUAAAUAAGGUGCCACUAGGAAGGAGUCAGAAAUGCAGAGGGGGCUUGAGGGUCUGGACAGUACUGUACUCCAUUUGUAUGUGUAUGUAAGUAAAUAUGGAUAAGCUAGAAAACAAAAACAAAGACAAAAUGGAAUACCAUCUAUGUUUCUCUGAAGGAUCACUAAGACUUAAAUGCUUGUAACAUUAGGGAAAAGCAGUGUGAAGCGAAAUCCAGAAUGUCAGCUUCUCUGUUUGUGCUAAGUCGAGUUCAAGAUGAAGAAUUCUUUCGCAGUUUAAAGGUGUAUUCCUCCUCAAUCCCACACUCCAGCCUCACAACAUCAUCCAGGGUGUUAGUUCCCUAAAGAAAGAAAAUGGCCCCUCGAAACUCCAAGGAAUGGGUUCUCUCUUUAUCGAUGUUAGCAAGACCUACUGUUCUGCUCUGAACAGCUUUUGUGAAAACAUAGUGUUUAAACAGCCUCCUGGUUUUUCCAUCUUUUUUCCUCUUUCCCUUCUUUUGCAAAUGAAUUUCUUUCUCUAGGUUAGGAGGAGUAGUUAGAGGGCUUUGUCUGGGCACCGACUGAAAGAAGCAGUCAAAAAGCUUGAAAAUUGAACAGAGAAAGAGUUUGGGGGAGGGGGCAAGGCAAAAGCCUCUGCAGAAAAUUAUUCCUGCAAGCCCAGCAAGGACCUUAGCUACCUUCCUUUUUCUGUUUCUUCAUUUGCUUAUUUGGGUUUAUGCAUGAGAGAGCAUCUAUGCCGUUUCUGUGUUUUCCUGUCACAGAUAAGUGAAAGGAAUGAGUUUAGAACUAAAUUGAAAAGUGCGCAGGAUGGAGAAGUGGUGGGAAAUUCAAUCAAUGUAUCUGUAUAGAUUGUCAUCUCUAGGUCAGGAAUGAAAAACUGAAUUUCUGAGAACUCAAACUCGCAAGCUAAUUUUCCUCACAUUAUUUUGUGAAGCAAGUAUGAUCAGAGGUUAUUGUGAUGAGAUACGAUUUUCAGUUUUCUCUCAGGUUUGACUGUUGUAUGGAUUAGAGAAAAGAUAAGGUUUUCACAUACUAGCUGUUGCAGGGCAAUUCUCAUUCUUCCUGCACGCCUGUCUGAAGGAAUAAGGUCACUUGUUACAGUCAGAGGCAUAUCUAGGGAUCUAAUUUAAAGGCAUCAGCCUCCUAGCAUGUUUAUUUGAAAUUUAACACUGGCGAAGCUGAAACCAGGAUUUUAUGAAACUGUGUUCAAUUGUUAGUUAUGGUUUGACAAUGAUAUUCUUUUCCUUUUUCCCUCCUUCCUGUUUUCUCUCUCUCCCUCUCUUUCUUUCCCCCUCCUUCCUAUUAGACACAUACAUUUUGGUGUUUUACUAUUCCUUUUUUUAAUC